GACGAACGCUGGCGGCGUGCCUAACACAUGCGAGUCGAGCGAAUGAAAUUCCUUCGGGAACGGAUUUAGCGGCGGACGGGUGAGUAACACGUGGGCAACCUGCCUCAUAGAGGGGAAUAGCCUUCCGAAAGGGAGAUUAAUACCGCAUAAGAUUGUAGUACCGCAUGGUACAGCAAUUAAAGGAGCAAUCCGCUAUGAGAUGGGCCCGCGGCGCAUUAGCUAGUUGGUGAGGUAACGGCUCACCAAGGCGACGAUGCGUAGCCGACCUGAGAGGGUGAUCGGCCACAUUGGGACUGAGACACGGCCCAGACUCCUACGGGAGGCAGCAGUGGGGAAUAUUGCACAAUGGGGGAAACCCUGAUGCAGCAACGCCGCGUGAGUGAUGACGGCCUUCGGGUUGUAAAGCUCUGUCUUCAGGGACGAUAAUGACGGUACCUGAGGAGGAAGCCACGGCUAACUACGUGCCAGCCGCCGCAGUAA
rnacentral:rRNA from 1 species